rnacentral:rRNA from 1 species
UCAAAAGACAAAGAGCGUAUGGUGGAUACCUAGGCACUCAGAGACGACGAAGGGCGUGGUUACCGACGAAACCCUCCGAGAAGCUGGAAGCAAGCAAUGAUCCGGAGAUUCCCGAAUUGGGCAACCAAUAAAACGUGCAACUGAAUUCAUAAGUUGUAACGAGUCAACCUAGUGAAUUGAAACAUCUUAGUAGCUAGAGGAAAAGAAAGCAAACGCGAUUCCCUGAGUAGUGGCGAGCGAAAAGGGAACAGCCUAAACCGACAUUAAGUCGGUGUUGUGGGACCAGUAAAUAAGUAAAAAUUUUGCUUAAAUGAAGCAGCUGAAUACUGCACCAAAGAUGGUGAAAGUCCAGUAAUUUAAAAGCAAAUAAUACAAAAUGGAUAUCCCAAGUAGCAUGGGGCACGUGAAAUCCCGUGUGAAUCUACGAGGACCACCUCGUAAGGCUAAAUACUCCUGAGUGACCGAUAGUGUACUAGUACCGCGAGGGAAAGGUGAAAAGAACCCCCUUAGGGGAGUGAAAUAGACCAUGAAACCGUAUGCUUACAAGCAGUGGAAGGUGUAAAGUGCUGACCGCGUGCCUGUUGAAGAAUGAGCCGGCGACUUAUAAAGAGUGGCUUGGUUAAGACAUCAAGUCGAAGCCGUAGCGAAAGCGAGUCUGAAUAGGGCGCAGAGUCCGAGGAGGUAGACGCGAAACUUUGUGAUCUACCCAUGAGCAGGCUGAAGGUUGGGUAACACCACCUGGAGGGCCGAACCAGUUUCCGUUGAAAAGGAUUUGGAUGACUUGUGGGUAGGGGUGAAAGGCCAAUCAAACUCGGAGAUCGCUGGUUUUCCGCGAAAGCUAUGGAGGUAGCGCGUGGAGAAGGCCUGGACCGGAGGUAGAGCGCGGUUGGGGCCUCGCGCCCCGACCACCUUCCAAUGCCGGCGCCAGGAUCCUCCGCAGACAGACCUUCGGUGCGAAGAUCGAAGGUCGAAAGGGAAACAGCCCUGCUCGCACGCUAAGGUCCCCAAGCCGCCCACCAGUGGGAAAGGAGGGGCGCGCCCGAAGACAGCCAGGAGGUGGGCUUGGAAGCAGCCAUCCUCGGAGGAACGCGUAAGAGCGCACUGGUCGAGGGCGCGCCCGCCGAGAAUGUACCGGGGC